rnacentral:rRNA from 1 species
CCUACGGGUGGCAGCAGUGAGGCAUAUUGGUCACUGGGCGAGAGUCUGAACCAGCCACGCAGCGUGAAGGAUGACUGCUCUCUGGGUUGUAACCUUUUUUUAUCAAGGAAUAAAACGAGGCACGUGUGCCUUUUUGCAUGUACUUUAUCUAUAAGGAUCGGCUAACUCCGUGCCAGCAGCCGCGGUAAUACGGAGGAUCCGAGAGUUAUCCGGAUUUAUUGGGGUUAAAGGGAGCGUAGAUGGGUUGUUAAGUCAGUUGUGAAAUGUUGCGGCUCAACCGUAGAAUUGCAAUUGAUACUGGCAGUCUUGAGUGCAUUUGAGGUAAGCGGAAUUCGUGGUGUAGCGGUGAAAUGCAUAGAUAUCACGAAGAACACCGAUUGCGAAGGCAGCUUACUAAACUGUAACUGACAUUGAUGCUCGAAAGUGUGGGUAGCAAACAGGAUUAGAUACCCGAGUAGUC